AUACUGACCUGGCAGGGGAGAUAACCGUGAACAUGAAAGUGGUUUCCCAAGAGGUGCAUCCAUUGCACUCCAGGUGUGCUGACCCUGGAGAUUUUCCCAAGUGUGGGAAAAUCAACUGCAUAAUUUGUGGUAGUUGGGGACUGCAUUCAUGCUUUCCCCUU